GAUGAAGAACGCAGUGAAAUGCGAUAAGUAAUGUGAAUUGCAGAAUUCAGUGAAUCAUCGAAUCUUUGAACGCACAUUGCGCCCCCUGGUAUUCCGGGGGGCAUGCCUGUCCGAGCGUCAUUACAACCCUCAAGCUCAGCUUGGUGUUGGGCCCCGCCGCCCCGGCGGGCCCUAAAGUCAGUGGCGGUGCCGUCCGGCUCCGAGCGUAGUAAUUCUUCUCGCUCUGGAGGUCCGGUCGUGUGCUCGCCAGCAACCCCCAAUUUUUUUCAGGUUGACAUCGGAUCAGGUAGGGAUACCCGCUGAACUUAAGCAUAUCAAUAAGCGGAGGA
rnacentral:misc_RNA from 1 species